GGAAAUAUAUUUCUAUAGUCUCCUAAACAGAGAAGGAAACCAAAUGGUUUCACAUUUAAAGUUAUUGGACAUAAUCCUUUUACUUUGUUCAAGUAAAAAUAUUCAGCAAAGCCAGACUGAAAUAAUAACAUGAAUGGGCUUAUUAAGCUUGUGACCAAAUCGUUUGUUUAAUAGUUGGAAGAAUUACAAAUGAAGGCCAUUUCACGUAGUCAGUUUAAAUUAAGGCUGUUGUUUCCAGCUUGGUAAAUAGCUUAUAAACUCUGUGCACAUCUUACCUCAUUUAUUUAUUCUAAUAUCCCUUCAAAGGCUCUGUUCCAUGUGACCAGUUAACUAUACCUCCUAGGAAUUUUGUGUCUGUAAAAAUACAUAGUUGAAGAUUGCACUCUUAACAGGUUUACGACUAUCCUGGAUAGUAUUGUUAACUGUGUGCACAUUGUUGUAGAGCAGAUCUCUAGAACUUUUUCAUCCUGCGUGAAUGAAACUCUACACCCAUUCAACUGCAGCCCCCAUUCUCCCCUCCCCAGUCCCCGGCAACCACCACUCUCCUUUCUGCUUCUGAGUUUCACAUACCUCCUAUAAGUGGGAUUACAUAGUAUUUUUCCUUCUGUAACUGGCUUAUUUCAUUUAACAUACCUCCCUCAUUCAAACCAUAACUUCCUGGAUGAAGGUUUCAGGCAAAAGCACCUGGGAAACCAGGCCUUUGCUACUCAUUUACCCCCCAUUCCCCACCCCACCCCCCGCCCCAGUCCCGUGCCUCCACCUGCUGAGCACCGUUCCAUUUGCCGAUGCUCUCAUGUUACCCUGGGAGACAUAAGGUAGAAGAGCCAUGGGGACUCUGCUCGAGGGUGGUAUAAGGCAUUUGAAACUAAGCCUCUUCAUUAACCCAAUCCAUAUCACAGAGAGGCAGCAUGGGUGCCCCUAGCCCAAUGGCCGGGCUAUUUGCUACUGCAAUAAUAGGUUUCUUAUAAACCGUCAGCCUCCUGAGUAGCUGGCACCACAGGGACACCACAGGCUAUUUUUUAAAAAAAUUUAUGUAGAAAUGGAUUCUCACUGUGUUUCUCAGGCUAGUCUCAAAUUUCUAGGCUCAAGCAGUCCUCCCGCCUCAGCCUCCCAAAGUGCUAGGAUUAUUGGUGUGAGAGGAAUCCCUUUCAACCCUUGAAAAUAAAUCAAGCGGUGAUGAACUCCCUGAGCUUAUAUUUGCCUAGGAAGGUCUUUAUUUCUCUUUCAUUUUUGAAGGACAGUUUGGCUGGACAUAGUAUGUCUUAUUUGGCAGUUUGUCCCCUUCUGCACUGUGAAUAUAUUAUGUCAGUCCCUUCUGGCCAUCUGGCAAGGUUUCUGCUAUGAAAUCCACUGUUUUAUGAAGGAUCUCUUGUUCAUGACAAGUUGCUUUUUGAUUUUAAAAUGACUCAAUGUGGAUGUCUUUGGGUUCAUUCUAGUUGGAGUCCUUUGGAAUUCUCGAAUCUGGAUGUCUAUUUUCUACCCCAGAUUUGGGAAAUUUUGAGCCAUUAUUUUUUUUAAAGAAGCUUUCUGUCCCUUUUUGUAUUUCUUCUUAAAUUCCCAUAGUGUUUAUAUUGGUCCACUUAAUGGUGUCCCAGAAGUUCCUUAGACUUUCAUCAUUUUAAAAUUAUUUUCCCUUUUUGAUCCACUGACUGGAUAAUUUCAAAUAACCUCUGAGUUCAUUCUUUCUUCUGCUUUAUCAAAUCUGCUGUUGAACCCCUCUAAUAAAUUUUUCAAUUUAUUUUAUUCUUCACUGC
rnacentral:lncRNA from 1 species